UCCCUGUUCAUGGGUGCCUCGUGAUGAUGU
rnacentral:piRNA from 1 species